rnacentral:rRNA from 1 species
CCUUCGGGAGGCAGCAGUGGGGAAUAUUGGACAAUGGGGGAAACCCUGAUCCAGCGACGCCGCGUGAGUGAAGAAGUAUUUCGGUACGUAAAGCUCUAUCAGCAGGAAAGAAAAUGACGGUACCUGACUAAGAAGCCCCGGCUAACUACGUGACAGAAGCCGCGGUAAUACGUAGGGGGCAAGCGUUAUCCGGAUUUACUGGGUGUAAAGGGAGCGUAGACGGCAGCGAAAGUCUGGAGUGAAAUGCCGGGGCCCAACCCCGGAACUGCUCUGGAAACUGUGUAGCUGGAGUGCAGGAGAGGUAAGCGGAAGGCGUGGUGGAGCGGUGAAAUGCGUAGAUAGCAGGAGGAACACCGGCGGCGAAGGCGGCAUACUGGACUUUAACUGACGUUGAUGCUCGAAGGCGUGGGGAGCAAACAGGAGUAGAUACCCCAGUAGUC